CGGAGACCCUGGGUUUUGGGAGGCGAGGCCGGGGGCGGGGGCAGGGGAAGUUUGGAGCCGAGGGAGCGGCAGGAGCACGUGGGCUGAGGGGGUGGGAGGACGCAGACGGAGGAGUAACCGGUGGAAGUGUCAACGAGGAAGGGGUGGAGGGCUGGCGAGGUGACAGGGUGUGGUCUGUGGCGGAGCAGCCGCCCGGGAGCCCGGGGCGGGGGCAGGGGCAGGGCAGGGGCAGCGCCGGGACCGCGGCGGCCAGGAGCGCGGCGCGGGGCCGGGGCACUUUCCGCGCUCGCCCAAGUGGAGCUCGGCUCGGAGCCGCGCCAGCGCCUUCCGCCGGGGCCGCGGGGCCCGCCACCUGCCGAGUCCGGAGCGGGAGUCUUCGCCCCCAAGAUCAUCAACCUGAGCAUAUGCCAGUUGACAUGGGAACACUGAGGCCAGCAAUUUAAGGAUUUUCACAUUUGCCUGCAGUGAAUACAGAGUCCUGGAUUGUUUAGGCACAGAUUGACAGCCUGGAAUCCUAAGGAAGACCAAGACUCCAAACAGUAAGGCAUGGGUCUUCUGCAAUUCUAUUUCAUCCCCAUAGAAUUAUGCUAUGAUUUGAUUUAAGCUUGAAUUUGGAAGGCUCAUUGUUCUUAGGGAAAUACAUAUAAUCUCCUCUGGAUUUUUGCUUCAUAUUGGCUCUAGACAUGCUUAACUAAGUCAGGUUGGAUUAGCUUUUCAGAUUGGUUUCUUGAUUUAGUAUAGAUCAAAAUUUAAGUUUUAUUAUGAUUUUUAAACCCUCUUUGCCAAGUUUAGAAAAAAACUCAAUAGAAGGAGAAUAAAGAUAAAAGCACUGCUUUAAACA
rnacentral:lncRNA from 12 species